UAAUGAAAUCUGAAUAGUCAAUAUGAGUUUGUAUUACCUCACAUGGUAAUAUUUCUGUUUAACAUGAGUUCUGCAUCCCUCCCUAUGUAUUUCGGCCACAGCAGCAUGCUCGAGCAACUUGUCGUGGGCAAAAACCGCCCGGUGACCAGUUGUCCGUACUGUACGCAUACUGUAUGAGUCACGCCACGGCGAGUCACACAGACGGAUCGGGCUCCGCUCUCCAUCCGAGUCUCUGCGUGUGUCAGCGAUAUAGCAGCGACACAUUGCCACUCUGCUAUCUCCGCCAUCCCCCGGGGAACAUAUUGUUUGUGGUGAAAAGCUGCAAAUCUGUUGAUCAAGGUUCCAAAAGGACAUUUGUUUUAUUUAUUUAUUGAUUUUCAGUCAUUGCCAAACAUACAAACAGGAAUAUGGAGCCAUCCGGCUAUAGCUCUAUAGCUCUAAUGCGCUUCAAUGACAUGUCUCUAGUGGAUAUAUAUUCUACUUUAAAGCAAAGUACUGCUGGUGUAGAAAAACACGGAUAUAUUAAACUCCACGGUGGAGCGCCGGGUCACAUGUUCCUUCAUUACCAUGAACUCACAUGCAGUUUAAUUUGAAUGAAUCCCACAUACACCACGCUGCUGCCGAAAGCACACUCCCGAGAGCUGUAGAAUCGGAGUGUGUAACAGUUUGCCGAUUGCAAUCUGAAUGUGUAUUAAUCCGCUGAUGAAAAGCAGCAAAAAGAACCCCAACAAAAACACCUUUUAUUACUCUAUUAAUAACAUUUGCUAAAAAAAAAACGACCAGCUGGUUUAGGAAAUUAUUUAGCUCGUCAGUAUGAAACUUCUAACUUUUAUAUUUGAGAGCCAAGUGCAAAGACAACGAUGACAUCGUUUUUCUUUUCAUGGGAUUUAUUUAAAAAUAAGAUAGAAUAAAAACGCCAAAGAAAACACCAGCCUCAUCGUUUAAAGAUAUGAAUGUAUGAAAUGCUUCUGCAUACAACCCGUACUGUUGUAUAGAAGCACCUGAUGGAGUUUGACAUAGUGCCAUAUAUUUGCUCAUAUUCUUUUCUCUGUAGGACUCCACUAACCAGAGCAUGCUGCACAGCGCCACACCGGUUCAACUGCACCCCGGGGGCUCGGUUCUGGUUGGACUGAAUCCCUUCUCCCAAUUUCUUUUCACAAUGGGUUCACAAAUAUGGACAGUCCUGAGUCAUCCCCGGUGUCUGAGGAGAGGUACUGCAAGUCCUUCCUGCUGCUGUCAGGCUGCACAACAAACUUGCAGUAGAUCACUAAAACCACUAAAACACUUAAACACUCGAUCACUUGGACACUUUAAUCUGUUAAAUACACUUUUAUUACUACCUUGUAUAUAUAUAUAUAUAUAUAUAUAUUAGUAUUCCUCUGUAUAUUUAAUAUUGUUACCGUUUUUGUACAUUUUUAUUACUGCUCUGUGCAACCACUGCUGUGAUCCUGCAAUUUCCCCACUGAGGGACUAAUAAAGGAAUAUUUCAUCUUA